rnacentral:rRNA from 1 species
AUACGGAGGGUCCAAGCGUUAUCCGGAAUCAUUGGGUUUAAAGGGUGCGCAGGCGGUUUAUUAAGUCAGUGGUGAAAUCUCGAGGCUCAACCUCGAAACUGCCAUUGAUACUGAUAAACUUGAGUUCAGUUGGAGUAGGCGGAAUGUGUAGUGUAGCGGUGAAAUGCUUAGAUAUUACACAGACCACCGAUAGCGAAGGCAGCUUACUAAACUGAUACUGACGCUGAGGCACGAAAGCGUGGGGAGCGAACAGGAUUAGAAACCCCAGUAGUCC